rnacentral:lncRNA from 1 species
AGGCUUGGCUCUCAACGCCCUUUGCUGUGAUGUUGUUGUUGAAGCUCACAUAAAGUCAGGACCUUUAUGCCUGUUCUAGAUCCACCUGCUGGGACUCAAGAAACCUCUUGUAAGAAAGAAAGGAAGAAAAAGUCACGUAUAAACGGGAUAAAAAUGAAGCAAGUUUAUGUCGUAAAAUUGAGGCUUUGACCAAACCACCUCAAAGAGAGCCAACUGGAAUAUUAACUUUGCUGUGACUUGAGGGUAACCCUGGACGACCUAAUAUUAAGCAGGAGGAAGGCUUCCUGUACCCUUCCUCAAGUACCUGCGUCUCUGUUUUCCCUAAGCGUGACAUACUUGCCAUAGGUAUUGGCACCUGCAAAUGGCACUUCACCCCACCCAGUAGGAGGAAGUCCUCAAGAGUCAGAGGGGAGGCUGCCUGAGGUCUGAGGUCAUGGAGGUCCAGCCCUUCCAAGUUCUGGUGAGAGGAAACAGGAGGAAAAGAGGUCAGUUCCCUCUCCACACAGGAGCCAUGUAUUUGCUCCCAAGUCAGGAUAGGGAAGAAGGUGCAGAGAGGACAUCACUUUUGCAAAGAGCCCGCUCUCCUCCCCACAGCCCAGAGGCCUAGAAAGUUCCCUGCAUGUCUGCAGAGUGUAUCUUCUGGGUUUAGAUUUUUUUUUUUAAUUUUUAAAAGUGAUGUAUAUUUGAAGGGGGCAGUGUGUGUGAGUGAGUGUGUGUGUGUUAUGUGCACUGGAGUAUAGGUGCCUUCAGGGGCCAGAAGAGAUAAUGGGAUCCCCUGAAGCUGGAGUUACAGGUGGUUGUCAACAGUCUAAUGUGGGUGCUGGAAACAGAACUCGGUCCCUCUGUAAGAACAGUACACACUCCUAACAGCUGGGCCACCUCUCUAGCUCCCAAACAGUGUCUUUGUCCUUGAUCCACUCUCCUGUAGAAUCUGAAUACUUCACACAAGAAGAGCAAUAGACACAGACCAAAGUGCAGACCUGUGGAUGCUUCCAGAAUCAUGUAUAUUUACGGAU